UGCGGGUAUUGUGUAUUUACUUGGCUGUGGUAGUGUCGAGCUUGUUUCGGCUGUGCCGAAUUCCUGCAAACCCCGCCCUUGGGCGGGGUUUUGCUUUAUA
rfam:Pseudomonas alkylphenolica strain KL28 chromosome, complete genome.